UACGUAGGGUGCAAGCGUUAAUCGGAAUUACUGGGCGUAAAGCGUGCGCAGGCGGCUUUGCAAGACAGAUGUGAAAUCCCCGGGCUUAACCUGGGAACUGCAUUUGUGACUGCAUGGCUGGAGUGCGGCAGAGGGGAUGGAAUUCCGCGUGUAGCAGUGAGAUGCGUAGAUAUGCGGAGGAACACCGAUGGCGAAGGCAAUCCCCUGGGCCUGCACUGACGCUCAUGCACGAAAGCGUGGGGAGCAAACAG
rnacentral:rRNA from 1 species